GUCCACGCUGUAAACGAUGGGCACUAGGUGCUCGGGGUAUUGACCCCCUGGGUGCCGUAGCUAACGCAUUAAGUGCCCCGCCUGGGGACUACGGCCGCAAGGCUAAAACUCAAAGGAAUUGACGGGGGCCCGCACAAGCGGUGGAGCAUGUGGUUCAAUUCGACGCAACGCGAAGAACCUUACCUGGGCUAGACAACAGGAGACAACCCCAGAAACGGGGUCUUCCCUUCGGGGACUCCUGGUUCAGGUGCUGCAUGGCUGUCGU
rnacentral:rRNA from 1 species